GCACAUUUUGUCGAGACAGUUUUGUUUAUGCUGCAAAAAUAAUUUAUUUAUGCGAUUUGCAGCAAUGACAAAGCGUGUGGUGUGGAUUGCUUGGGUAGCCCCAAACUACAGCUGUGAUCGAUUGCAACAGCUGCAAAUCGAUAGACACUGGGCGCGCAAAUUGGAUCAUUUGAAGUGGGCAAGGCGCGAAGCGCACAGCUACAACAUAAUGCCCAAAAUCAGUACUCACUUGCAGAGUCGAGCUGCGCUGAUGAGUUGCGGUCCACAGGCAGUACCAGAAUCGGGCGUAAACCUGUGAUAUUUCGAUAACUGCAAAUUUCCAACAUAGACAAUAAUAUAAUUUUAGAAAUGUGUCUACCAGAGCCGUGUGACAUAAAUUGAAAAAACUUGUGUGUGUUAUUAAUCAAAAGGCACACUUUCAGUUUAUUAUUAUUAAUACGAUACAAUUUAAAAAUUCAUUUAGUAACAACUACGGCAUUGUAAAGACAAGUUAACAACAACUGGCCGGGGAGGGGAAGAGCGGUUGGGUGGUUAGCUCUGAGCAGCUGACAAUGGUUAGACAAUACACAUAAAUAAUUACUCGUGUAAACAUUUAAAAAAAAA